UACGAAGGGGGCUAGCGUUGCUCGGAAUCACUGGGCGUAAAGGGUGCGUAGGCGGGUCUUUAAGUCAGGGGUGAAAUCCUGGAGCUCAACUCCAGAACUGCCUUUGAUACUGAAGAUCUUGAGUCCGGGAGAGGUGAGUGGAACUGCGAGUGUGGAGGUGAAAUUCGUAGAUAUUCGCAAGAACACCAGUGGCGAAGGCGGCUCACUGGCCCGGUACUGAUGCUGAGGUGCGAAAGCGUGGGGAGCAAACAGG
rnacentral:rRNA from 1 species